rnacentral:lncRNA from 1 species
AUCUUGAAUAUUAUUAUAGAUAGAGAUAAACUGUAAACAGCAAUAAUGUUCAGCAAAGUAAGAUCUACAAAUAAGUCAACAUGACCAAAAAUGGUCAGUUGACCACUUUAGAGUUAUUGCCCUUUAUAGUCAAUUUUUAACCAUUUUUCGUAAAUCUUAGUAAUCUUUUAGAAAAAUCUUCUCCUCUGAACCUACUGGACCAAAUUUAACCAAACUUAGCCAUAAUCAUCAUUGGGGUAUCUAGUUAAAAAAUGUGUCCGGUAACUCGGCCAACAAACCAAGAUGGCCGCCAUGGCUAAAAAUAGAACAUGGGGGUAAAAUGCAGUUUUUGGCUUAUAACUCAAAAACCAAAGCAUUAAGAGCAAAUCUGACAGGAAGUAAAAUUGUUGAUCAGGUCACGAUCUAUCUGCCCUGGAAUUUUCAGAUGAAUCGGAUAAUCGGUUGUUAUAGGUUGCUGCCCCUGAAUUGGUAAUUUUGAGGAAAUUUUGCUGUUUUUUUGUUAUUAUCUUGAAUAUUAUUAUAGGUAGAGAUAAACUGUAAACAGCAAUAAUGUACAGCAAAGUAAGAACUAAAAAUAAGUCAGUAUGACCAAAUAGUCAAUUGACCCCCUAAGGAGUUAUUGCCCUUCAUAGUCAAUUUUUAACAAUUUUCUGAAAAUUUGAAGAUAUAUAUUCAAUAACAUUUUCCACAGAAAGUACUGUUA